AGACGUAGGGGGCGAGCGUUGUCCGGAAUUACUGGGCGUAAAGAGCACGUAGGCGGGAACUUAAGUCAGGUGUGAAAGACCGGGGCUCAACUCCGGGGUUGCACUUGAAACUGGGUUUCUUGAGGGCAGGAGAGGAAAGCAGAAUUCCUGGUGUAGCGGUGAAAUGCGUAGAAAUCAGGAGGAAUACCAGUGGCGAAGGCGGCUUUCUGGACUGACCCUGACGCUGAGGUGCGAAAGCGUGGGUAGCAAACAGGAUUAGAUCCCCUGGUAGUCCACGCCGUAAACGAUGGAUACUAGGUGUGGGAGGUAUCGACCCCUUCCGUGCCGCAGCUAACGCAAUAAGUAUCCCGCCUGGGGAGUACGGUCGCAAGGCUGA
rnacentral:rRNA from 1 species